rnacentral:misc_RNA from 1 species
UCUCCGUUGUUGAACCAGCGGAGGGAUCAUUACCGAGUUUACAACUCCCAAACCCCAAUGUGAACGUUACCACUCGUUGCUUCGGCGGUACCGCCCCGGCGCCCUCGGGCCCGGGCCAAGGCGGCCGCCGGGGGACCAACCAAGCCCUUUUAGUGAAUCCCGGGGCCCCGUCCCGGCGGCAUUAUCUGAGGACAGCGAAAUACAAACGCAUAAAAACUUUCAACAACGGAUCUCUUGGUUCUGGCAUCGAUGAAGAACGCAGC